AUGGUGUCCCUACCUUCAACAUGCAGAAUUCACUAUCCUCACCGGCCAGCGCAGCUUGAUACACCUGACAGAAUAGAGGCCUACAACACCGUGGCAGCAACGAGCUUUCACCAAAUUGUUGGGGCUCCAGUAGACUAUCAAAUACAAGAAGGGGGCAGAAAACACAGUAGCCGAUGCAUUAUCAAGAACCAACAUAGAAGAGGUGCUGCACACUCUCAGCGUGUGCCAACCAGCUUGGCUAGAGGACAUCGUCAAUAG
rnacentral:rRNA from 1 species